CCAGUGCACUUCCAAGCUCCCUCUCUGGUCCGCUCAGUCGCCGGGGCCAUUCUUUCUUCUCCAUCUCCGGCCGAAACCGCCGCCGAGAAGCUCCCUCCAUGGCCACGUGAUUCCAGUAAGUAGCACGCGUUCCUCGCGGUUGUUUUCGGUUCCUCUCCAGCUCCUACAGCUCAUGCGUUCACUCUUUCUUCUUGGACGCGGGCAGGAUCGCCGGAACGAAGCCGUGGAGCUCAGAGCGUCCGCCG
rnacentral:lncRNA from 1 species